rnacentral:lncRNA from 1 species
AAAGAUUCAUGGUCUGUUAACACUGGAUCAACUUCCUUGCCUAUGGAUGAUGAGAUAUUUUUAGUAAUUUUGCCACAUUCAGAAGCUACUCCACCUAUACCUCCUUUGAUUCAUGCUUCAAUGUCACCACCAACUUAACCUAUUUCUACAAAUUCACCUAGAGUUCAUCUUAUUACUUUGCCAUAGUCACGAGGUGUACCCUUGGAAUUUGAAUCCUUAGCAGGUGAAUCCGCAACAAUUGAAUCCUUAGC